GCUAGAAGAUGACGAGCGGCGGACGGGUGAGUAAUACUUAGGAAUCUACCUAGUAGUGGGGGAUAGCUCGGGGAAACUCGAAUUAAUACCGCAUACGACCUACGGGAGAAAGGGGGCAACUUGUUGCUCUCGCUAUUAGAUGAGCCUAAGUCGGAUUAGCUAGAUGGUGGGGUAAAGGCCUACCAUGGCGACGAUCUGUAGCUGGUCUGAGAGGAUGAUCAGCCACACCGGGACUGAGACACGGCCCGGACUCCUACGGGAGGCAGCAGUGGGGAAUAUUGGACAAUGGGGGAAACCCUGAUCCAGCCAUGCCGCGUGUGUGAAGAAGGCCUUUUGGUUGUAAAGCACUUUAAGCAGUGAAGAAGACUCUUCGGUUAAUACCCGGAGACGAUGACAUUAGCUGCAGAAUAAGCACCGGCUAACUCUGUGCCAGCAGCCGCGGUAAUACAGAGGGUGCAAGCGUUAAUCGGAAUUACUGGGCGUAAAGCGAGCGUAGGUGGCUUGAUAAGUCAGAUGUGAAAUCCCCGGGCUUAACCUGGGAACUGCAUCUGAUACUGUCAGGCUAGAGUAGGUGAGAGGAAGGUAGAAUUCCAGGUGUAGCGGUGAAAUGCGUAGAGAUCUGGAGGAAUACCGAUGGCGAAGGCAGCCUUCUGGCAUCAUACUGACACUGAGGCUCGAAAGCGUGGGUAGCAAACAGGAUUAGAUACCCUGGUAGUCCACGCCGUAAACGAUGUCUACUAGUCGUUGGGUCCCUUGAGGACUUAGUGACGCAGCUAA
rnacentral:rRNA from 1 species